UGCAGAUUUUUCUCCAAACUUACAAAGAAGCGACUAUUUUCAAAAUUUUAGAAGCGAUUUUUCAGCAAUAAUUUCGUUGUUUCUUCACGAAUCACAGUUACAAAGAUAAUCUGGUUCCAAUUAAUUUGAUGAUGAGAUUGCGGUAGAUGUUCAGCCGUAUUUUGAUAGAAUGCAACAAGCUUGCAAUUGAUCUUUUAGGCUAACAUGCUUUAGUUGGGCAAGUCCAAAUGUCGUUUUGAGGAAGUGGAAACACUGCGGAGAUGAAGAAAGAGGCUGCAAGAUCGACUAUAUAUAAUAACAUUUUACUUAUGUUUUUCGUUUAUUAUAUUAAGGCGUGUGAGCCUAUUAUGUUUUUGUCUAUUAGACGAAUAUUUUAGACAGUGUUUGCUGUAAAUACUUUUUGGUUACAUUCCAAUGGAGUCCAAUGAAGAUUGUUGAUUAUUAGUAAUUUGGAGCUAUCAAAGUUUUGCUCUAUGUAUGAGGUGUUUUUGUGUAUUUCUGCUAGUGUGUUGAAAAGAAAAGAAAUUGGUGUAAUUGUAGUAGUUUA